GUUAAAAAAGGAACUGUCCAAAUUCGUUUCUCCUCUUUAUAUUAAGAAUAACAGCGGUAUACGUUUGGAUUAAAUAAAAUUGUAAACUAGUUAGCUAAAUUAAAAUUAAUGUGCACAAAACUGGAGAAAACAUUGCGAAAAUGUGCAACACAAUCCGCUCAAUAAAUGUGAAUAUAAUUUAAUGUAAUGUUUACACCUCUACGUGCAUUAAUUAAAUUGCUAUUUGCUCAGUAUUUAACGGGAUAAAAUUAUAUGCUAACUUAGUCAGUAUUGCUAAAGUUUAAAGUUUCAUUUGCAGUGCGAAAACCAACGUGAAUAAAAAAAAUAUUUUAUUCGUUGAAUUAAUUUAUAAGUUUUAGAAUUUUUAAAUAAUGGAAUAAUGGAAUGGAAAAUAGCGAUAUAAUAAUAUAAAAAAUAUUAAAAUAAUAUCUAGAAUUGAAUUGAUAAGGACGUACAUCCCACGAUUCUUCUGCUAAGGCAGACACCUUGUCGCGGUGCAGGAGCUUAGACGUAACGUCAAUCGGAUUUUUUCAAUCCGUGGUCAAAUAGACGUUUGCGCACUAGACCAAGAGCUGCCACCUCCUAAUUCAGGUUAAUACGGUUGUAUAUUAACUGAGUCUUAUCAAUGGUGGGUCGACUUGAGAAGUAACCGUGGCCUUAUCGCGUCAUUGGGCUCUGAUUUGGCGGAUACUUAGUUUCCCUUAUGAAAUAAUAGACCAAGAUUCUCAAUAUUAUGAGCUAAUUGUGUACGAACAAGAUGAGUUACAACGAAAACAAAAAUACAGAAAAAAACAGCGAAACCAUGAGCAACAACAAUAACGACAACAACAACAACAGCGUUAUGCCUUCCACCAUUGGCGACACGAUAGACAGUUCAAUAACUGACAAAUCUGUAGAAGAUGUAAGCAUGCAAAAUGAUGGUAAUGGAGCGAAUACCACAAUAUCUUCCGAGGUCUCCAAGAUGAAUAGGAAUAGAAGGGAUAGGCAUAAUCCCCUACCAACAGCGAGCCGUCCUGACAGUUUGAGCGAUCGCCGUAGAGUGGGAAUGAGUGGAGCCACCGUCAAAUGGUAUCUCCGACACCUUCUCGAAGGGAAAUCCGCUAAGGACGCAAGAGAGCUAGCGAUAAACAGGACUAGGGAGUCGUCUGCCUCUGAGCGUCAACAAGAUUUGAAAAGCGCGCUCGUAUCAGAGCAGACAAGUUCUGUAAUCGCAGUCGCAGCCCGGGAUGGGGGCUGUGGAUCGACAAGCCAAGAUAAAACAAGUCAGGCUGAGAAACGAAGAAGCGGAGAGAUAACAUCGCACGAGUUACCUGGUAAAAUGCAGAAGCAGUGUCUCCUUCAACAGUCGACGCAGUCGGUAGGUGUACAAAAAUAUGUUCCAGAACUUACACAGGUGGGAGACGACCAGCUGCAUCAAAAUCCGACCAGGCGAAACUAUGUUUCAAAACCUACCCAGGCGGGAGGAGAACAGCUGCAUCCUCAAUCGACGCAGUUGAAAAGCGCUGAAAAUUCUGUUCCAAAAACUACACAUGUUGGAGAAGAACAACUGCAUCAACAGUCGAUGCACUUGAAGAACAGAGAAAACUCUGUUCCAAAACCAACACAGGCUGGCAUUCGUAUAGCUGUGGUACCUCUCAACUACCCUGCGGAGGCAAUGAGGUGGGAAAAGCUCACCGCUCUUCAAAAUAGGAUCAUACGCGAAGUAGCAAAGGGGUGGAGGCACCCUCUCUCCUUCUACGGAGUCUACUUCAAGGCGGGCCUGUUACUUAUAGACUGUAGAGAUGAGGAAACCGCCACCUGGCUGACGGAGGUUGCUCCUAAGCUUGAGGGGUGGAAGAGCCCAACCCUCUGUACGAAAAGGGGAGAAGAAAUACCGCAGAUACACUAUAUGUCGGUAUAUCUACCAAGGAGCGCCGACAAUGGAGUGGACUUCGCAUUAAAACUACUAAAAGCACAAAACGAGGUCAUCAAAACAUCGGCAUGGCGUAUAAUUAAUAGCGGCAUUGAAGACACGGCUCUGAAACUCAACAUCGGUAUCGAUGAUGAAUCGUACAAAUACAUCCGGAAGCAAAGAUAUCGGCUGAACUACCGAUUCAGCGCGAUCUCCAUGCGAACAUGGAAGUCAAAGGCCGCAGAGGAAAAAGAGGAAGCCAGUGAACCGAUAACGAACUAUACGGACCACCAUGACUCACCUUCAUAUCAGCAUAGGACGUUGUAACUGUAUCUGAGCUCUUGAAGAGUCCCGGAGCGUGAAUGAGGGCACAUUACCGAUCUCAGAAAGUUGAUGAAUUAUUUUAAAUUUGAAUUAUAUUUGAAUUAUGUAAACUUAUUGUAUGAAAUAAAGAGUAUCAAAUUUCAAUAUCUCGAAAUUUCUCUACCCAUACGUAUACGGUCUGUAUAAAUCUCAAAGGUCAGAACGAAUAUUGGCUGAUAUAUAAUAUGGAAAUUGUCAGAAAUAACGGUAAAUUAAUAGAAGUCGCCGGAUCCGAUAAACAUUAUUUUAUUAGUUCAGAAGCUAAACAUUGUAGAAAACACCCUUUGGAACCAUUACAGUAAGUUUGGGUAACCACCUGAGUUAAUGAAAUAAAUCCUUCUGGAUCAAAUCGCUGUUAAAUCGCAAGAAAAUCGAUACAUUUCUGGAGCACAUGGUUACUGGUACUGGAUGAAAAUUGGAAAAAUGGGUCAUUUACGAUAAUCCCAAGCGAAAAUAGACGUGGUCGACGCGGUGAGCUGGUGCAAAUGAUGGCCAAGGUUUGACUUCUCUACGGUCGUAAACAAUUGGACCGUCUGAACGCUAGGCCCGACACAACGAUGUUGACUCGCCAGAAGCUCCGGUAGCCUGGUUGGGACGUUCUUAUACAUUCAACUUAUAGUCUGCACCUGUAACCAGGUAAUUGUUACCUGUUCCUAUCUAUGGCGAAUGAUUUUGUUGGUGAAAAAUUAGCCUCAUGAGAAAUCGACCUUCCUGCUUUUUUCAAUACGGACGAGUUUUUCCAUGAGUGUGGCAUUAUGAUAUUAACAUCAAAAUAGCAGCAAGUUAUCGAACAAACAGGUAAAUAUUUGACCUAAAUCGGACCAUUUUAAUUAUGAUAAAUUAAUCAUUCCAUUUCAUGCAAAAAUAAUGGAUUUUAUCGUAUAUGGCGAAAACUGCCGUGUUCAUUUUGAGAGUGGCGAAUCGAACAAACCUGGGAACUGCACUGGGAUAUAUGGCAUUAAGAAGAGCAUAGACGUUGUCAUGAACCGAAAAUAUAAACAGCCAUUAUAAAACAGUUGGUACAAAGCUUUUCUUUAUAGCUUUGGUAAUAUAAAUUCCAUCUUGUUAGCUUUAGGUCACGAUGUGUUGUAUGUCAGGAGGCUCUGAUGUCUAAGAAGUUGGCAUAUAAUGAACGCAGAUGAAUUAGCAAGGAGUAUAACAAACUUUGUGAGAACUCAGUCACACUUGAACAGAACACUUGAUAAAAGAGAGCUUUCGUUUCUUUUGGCGUAAUGCUCUAACUAAAAGCGAAUAAAUUCAAUUCGCUGCGGAAUUCCAAAACAAUUACAAACUCAGCGAUGCAACGAAUUCACGCAGUCCAAACUGAAGUUAAUCAAGAGCGCAAGAAGCACAAGCACAAAACGAGGCGCGGCGAAAUGAGCAACAGUUGCCCACGACACAAUUUGACUUAGAGAGUUUGUUCAAACACACAGAAACAGCUUAUAGCUAGCGGCUAGCGACCACAACGCCAUCAACAAUCAGUUGCAAUAACGCGUUCAAACGGCUAAGAUCGGUACGGAAAAC